rnacentral:rRNA from 1 species
GAUGAACGCUAGCUACAGGCUUAACACAUGCAAGUCGAGCGGAAACGAUGAGAGAUCUUGCUCUCUUAGUCGUCGACCGGCGCACGGGUGAGUAACGCGUAUCCAACCUGCCUCUGACCAAGGGAUAACCCGUCGAAAGUCGGACUAAUACCUUAUGCAGUCGUCGGAAGUCAUCUGAUGACGACGAAAGAUUUCAUCGGUGAGAGAUGGGGAUGCGUCUGAUUAGCUUGUUGGCGGGGUAACGGCCCACCAAGGCGACGAUCAGUAGGGGUUCUGAGAGGAAGGUCCCCCACAUUGGAACUGAGACACGGUCCAAACACCUACGGGAGGCAGCAGUGAGGAAUGUUGGGCAAUGGGCGUAAGCCUGAACCAGCCAAGUAGCGUGCAGGAUGGCGGCCCUAUGGGUUGUAAACUGCUUUUAGGCGGGGAUAAAGUGAGGGACAUGUCCUUCAUUGCAGGUACCGCAUGAAUAAGGACCGGCUAAUUCCGUG